GCCGCGUGAUGAGUCCAAGGCGAAUGUGAUGUCCUCCUCUGGUUAUGGCCUCUGACCCUCUUGCACUUGGUCUGUAAUCUUGGUGGCCGUGUAGAAGCCCCUCGCUGCCGCUGUAAGGCCAGACCAACAGCAGCCGGUCUCUCUGCACAAUGCGAUCCGCUCGCUGGAGGCUUGGCGUGCGGAAAUCAGAGAGACCUACAGGAUGGAUCGGUACCAGAGCCGUGCGGGGUCAGUGGCUGUAACUGAUACUAGAGGUUAAAGGAUGUAUGAGCACAUAUCUUUGGUAAUCUGAUGGCU
ensembl:snoRNA